GUGUGUAGCUCAGUGGUAGAGUACUGGUCUAGUAUGUUCAAAGUUCUGGGUUCCAACCCUAGCAUCACA
rnacentral:tRNA from 1 species